rnacentral:rRNA from 1 species
AGAGAGAGACAUGCGCGCAUAUCAAUAAGCGGAGGAAAAGAAACUAACAAGGAUUCCCCUAGUAACGGCGAGUGAAGCGGGAAGAGCUCAAAUUUGAAAUCUUAAAGGGUUUCCCUUUACGAAUUGUAGUUUAAAGAAGUGUUUUCUGUUGAGGUUUUGGUAAAAGUUCUUUGGAAUAGGACAUCAUAGAGGGUGAGAAUCCCGUAUUUGACCAUUACUUUCAGCUUUGUGAUACACUUUCAAAGAGUCGGAUUGUUUGGGAAUGCAGUCCAAAAUGGGUGGUAAAUUUCAUCUAAAGCUAAAUAUUGGCGAGAGACCGAUAGCGAACAAGUACCGUGAGGGAAAGAUGAAAAGAACUUUGAAAAGAGAGUUAAACAGUACGUGAAAUUGUCAAAAGGGAAGCGUUUGACACCAGUGUUGUUUUUCUGAAAAUCAAUUAAAGAACUGUUUAUGCUAAGUUGUUUAGACUUUAUCAGCUAACUGUUUAGUUUUGAGCUUUUCUUUAAUGCACUUUUCAGUUAACAAGUCAACAUCAAUUUCUUUUGCUGUAAAAAAGCUUGAGGAAGGUGGCUUGAGAUUCGACUUAAGUGUUUAUAGCCUCUUGCCUAUGCAGUCGGAGAGAUUGAGGUCUGCAGCGUAGAUCCUUCGGGGCUAAAUGCAUUUGUGCUAAGUUAUAGCAUUUUAUAGACAACUUGUUGACUAUGAUUUGUCUUGUAGCUUACUCGCUUAUGUUAUUUUACCUACGCUUAGGAUGUUGAGCGCAUGUCUCUCUCU